AUUGAACGCUGGCGGCAUGCCUUACACAUGCAAGUCGAACGGUAACAGGUCUUCGGAUGCUGACGAGUGGCGAACGGGUGAGUAAUACAUCGGAACGUGCCCGAGAGUGGGGGAUAACGAAGCGAAAGCUUUGCUAAUACCGCAUACGAUCGCAGGAUGAAAGCAGGGGACCGCAAGGCCUUGCGCUCACGGAGCGGCCGAUGGCAGAUUAGGUAGUUGGUGGGAUAAAAGCUUACCAAGCCGACGAUCUGUAGCUGGUCUGAGAGGACGACCAGCCACACUGGGACUGAGACACGGCCCAGACUCCUACGGGAGGCAGCAGUGGGGAAUUUUGGACAAUGGGCGCAAGCCUGAUCCAGCCAUGCCGCGUGCAGGAUGAAGGCCUUCGGGUUGUAAACUGCUUUUGUACGGAACGAAAAGACUCUGGUUAAUACCUGGGGUCCAUGACGGUACCGUAAGAAUAAGCACCGGCUAACUACGUGCCAGCAGCCGCCGCGG
rnacentral:rRNA from 1 species